GACGUAGGGGGCGAGCGUUGUCCGGAUUUAUUGGGCGUAAAGAGCGCGUAGGCGGCCCGGCAAGUCGGAUGUGAAAACCCGGGGCUCAACCCCGGGCCUGCAUCCGAUACUCCCGGGCUGGAGGCAGGUAGGGGAGAUCGGAAUUCCUGGUGUAGCGGUGAAAUGCGCAGAUAUCAGGAGGAACACCGGUGGCGAAGGCGGAUCUCUGGGCCUGUCCUGACGCUGAGGCGCGAAAGCUAGGGGAGCGAACAGG
rnacentral:rRNA from 1 species